rnacentral:rRNA from 1 species
AGUGAACGCUGGCGGUAGGCCUAACACAUGCAAGUCGAACGGCAGCACAGUAAGAGCUUGCUCUUACGGGUGGCGAGUGGCGGACGGGUGAGGAAUACAUCGGAAUCUACUUUUUCGUGGGGGAUAACGUAGGGAAACUUACGCUAAUACCGCAUACGACCUACGGGUGAAAGCAGGGGAUCUUCGGACCUUGCGCGAUU